GGCUGGUGCAAGUACAGUGGUAUUUACAACGAAUUGAUCACAACCAAUUACAGACUGCUUUGUUCUUUCUCCACUCCCACUGCUUCACUUGACUAGUCUUUA
ensembl:misc_RNA Y_RNA Y RNA